AAUCUCAAUCCCCUCGGGUUUAUGAUCUGGGGUGGACUUGGACUUGGGCGUCUGCCGGUGUGUCGGCUCGUCUCAAAUGACUUGGUGGGAUUAGCAUCCACGGCCCGACGUAAUAAGUUUCGUCCGGUCAGGUGCGAGGCCCGCUCAGAACCCCUCGCUUUGGCGUUAACACUUUUUGA
rnacentral:misc_RNA from 1 species